rnacentral:rRNA from 1 species
AUGAACGCUGGCGGCGUGCCUAAUACAUGCAAGUCGAGCGAACGGACGAGAAGCUUGCUUCUCUGAUGUUAGCGGCGGACGGGUGAGUAACACGUGGAUAACCUACCUAUAAGACUGGGAUAACUUCGGGAAACCGGAGCUAAUACAGGAUAAUAUUUUGAACCGCAUGGUUCAAAAGUGAAAGACGGUCUUGCUGUCACUUAUAGAUGGAUCCGCGCUGCAUUAGCUAGUUGGUAAGGUAACGGCUUACCAAGGCAACGAUGCAUAGCCGACCUGAGAGGGUGAUCGGCCACACUGGAACUGAGACACGGUCCAGACUCCUACGGGAGGCAGCAGUAGGGAAUCUUCCGCAAUGGGCGAAAGCCUGACGGAGCAACGCCGCGUGAGUGAUGAAGGUCUUCGGAUCGUAAAACUCUGUUAUUAGGGAAGAACAUAUGUGUAAGUAACUGUGCACAUCUUGACGGUACCUAAUCAGAAAGCCACGGCUAACUACGUG